GAUGAACGCUGGCGGCGUGCUUAACACAUGCAAGUCGAACGAAGCACCUUGAUUUGAUUCUUCGGAUGAAGAUCUUGGUGACUGAGUGGCGGACGGGUGAGUAACGCGUGGGUAACCUGCCUCAUACAGAGGGAUAGCCGUUUGCAAUGACUGCUAAUACCGCAUAAGACCACAGCACCGCAUGGGCCAGGGGUACAAACUCAGGUGGUAUGGGAUGGUCCCGCGUCUGAUUAGGUAGUUGGUGGGGUAACGGCCUACCAAGCCGACGAGCAGUAGCCGACCUGAGAGGGUGACCGGCCACAUUGGGACUGAGACACGGACCAAACUCCUACGAGAGGCAGGAGUGGGGAAUAUUGCACAAUGGGGGAAACCCUGAUGCAGCGACGCCGCGUGAGCGAUGAAGUAGUUCGGUAUGUAAAGCUCUAUCAGCAGGGAAGAAAAUGACGGUACCUGACGAAGAAGCACCGGCUAAAUACGUG
rnacentral:rRNA from 1 species